GACGAACGCUGGCGGCGUGCUUAACACAUGCGAGUCGAACGGAAAGGCCUUUUCGGAGGUACUCGAGUGGCGAACGGGUGAGUAACACGUGGGUGAUCUGCCCUGCACUCUGGGAUAAGCCUGGGAAACUGGGUCUAAUACCGGAUAGGACCGCACUUUAGUGUGUGUGGUGGAAAGUUUUUUCGGUGUAGGAUGAGCCCGCGGCCUAUCAGCUUGUUGGUGGGGUAAUGGCCUACCAAGGCGGCGACGGGUAGCCGGACUGAGAGGUUGGUCGGCCACAUUGGGACUGAGAUACGGCCCAGACUCCUACGGGAGGCAGCAGUGGGGAAUAUUGCACAAUGGGCGCAAGCCUGAUGCAGCGACGCCGCGUGGGGGAUGACGGCCUUCGGGUUGUAAACUCCUUUCGCCAGGGACGAAGCGUUUUGUGACGGUACCUGGAGAAGAAGCACCGGCUAACCACGUG
rnacentral:rRNA from 1 species